CUGCUGCCGAGACAAGCACACGCAGCCUCUGGAGGAGACAAAAGGUUCCAGCCAGAAACUGCAUUGGCACGAGGAAGUAAUUGCUAGUCCAGCAGGAAGAUUUAGAAACAACAACACAGGUGGCGGCGGCGGCGGCAAUAGCCAGGCGCGGAGUGCUCUCAGCGAAUCUUUCCAGGUGACCAUGCCUCCACGUGCCAGGCGAUCCCCAGAAUGGAGAAAUGGCGAGGUGCUGGACCUCAUCAGUGUUUGGGGGAGGAAGCUGUCCAGUCCCAGCUGUGCUCCAGCUGUAGGAAUUACGAUACCUUCGGGCAGAUAUCAAGGGAUAUGAUGGAAAGGGAUGCACUGCAAUGCGGGAUUAAAGUGAAGGAACUGCAGAAUGCCUACAGCAAAGCCUGCGAGGCAAAAAACGCUCUGGUGCUGCCCCUGCGACCUGCCGUUUCUACAAAGAGCUUGAUGCGAUACUUGGGGCCGACCCCACCUCCACGCCGAGGACCACCAUGGACACUUCAGAGGCCAGUUCAACAAGGCAAGAGGAGGAGGAGGAGCAGCAAAGCGGGAGCGAGGUUGUUCCGGCGGAGGAAGACACCCUGGAAUCCCUAGAUUCCCUAGAGCUGUUCUGAAGCCAGGAGGAAGGCAGCCAGUCGCGCGGCCGGUGCUUGGGGAAGGACAAACACUAGAGGAGGUUCCUGAUGCAACCUUGAGAUCUCAGCCGUCUGUGUUAUCAACGGCCAAGAGGCUGCAAAGAAUUAGGAAGAGGCCACGUAGAAGCAAAGAGGACAUGCUGCAUGAAGUCAUGCAGCAUUCAACUAAUGAAAACAUAAAAGUGCAGAAGUGGAGGGAGAGUGAAAGGAGGGUCCACCAGCAGAAUGCGGAUCGCCGGCACCAAAGCACAGAGCAGCUGAUAAGCAUCAUUGAGCGCCAAGCGGACUUGAUCCAGGCGCUCGUAGCCAUGCAGGUGGAGAACAACUGAGCCUCCCCUCUCCCCCCCCGCAGCCCUUGUCCCAAAACUCUUUCACUUGUGGCACCAUGUCACCUCCAAACCACUUUCCCCAGCAUCCGGGUUCUUACCGCCACCUGCUGCCUCCAACACCUGUAGCUUCACCACCCAGCCCUGAAAACUACGACCCUUACCCACUGCAUUCAACCCCCAUCACCAUGCAGUAUAGCCAUCCUGAACUGCAGCACACAUUGCACAGCACUCCAGACAGGACAUACACAAAUCUGUGAUUGUACCGUUCCCCACCCCACCUCACCCCCCUUGCCCUUUGUGUUUCCCAAGCAGUUGUGUUGUUUUUCUUUUCAAUAAAUUGAUUUUUUGGCUUUG